ACGGAAGGCAGCAGUGGGGAAUAUUGCACAAUGGGGGAAACCCUGAUGCAGCGACGCCGCGUGAGUGAAGAAGUAUUUCGGUAUGUAAAGCUCUAUCAGCAGGGAAGAAAAUGACGGUACCUGACUAAGAAGCCCCGGCUAGCUACGUGCCAGCAGCCGCGGUAAUACGUAGGGGGCAAGCGUUAUCCGGAUUUACUGGGUGUAAAGGGUGCGUAGGUGGCAUGGCGAGUCUGAAGUGAAAUGCGGGGGCUCAACCCCUGAACUGCUUUGGAAACUGUCAAGCUAGAGUGCAGGAGAGGAAAGCGGAAUUCCUAGUGUAGCGGUGAAAUGCGUAGAUAUUAGGAGGAACACCAGUGGCGAAGGCGGCUUUCUGGACUGUAACUGACACUGAGGCACGAAAGCGUGGGGAGCAAACAGGAUUAGAUACCCUGGUA
rnacentral:rRNA from 1 species